GAUGAACGCUGGCGGCGUGCCUAAUACAUGCAAGUCGAGCGAACAGAUGAGGAGCUUGCUCCUCUGACGUUAGCGGCGGACGGGUGAGUAACACGUGGAUAACCUACCUAUAAGACUGGGAUAACUUCGGGAAACCGGAGCUAAUACCGGAUAAUAUAUUGAACCGCAUGGUUCAAUAGUGAAAGACGGUUUUGCUGUCACUUAUAGAUGGAUCCGCGCCGCAUUAGCUAGUUGGUAAGGUAACGGCUUACCAAGGCAACGAUGCGUAGCCGAACUGAUAGGGUGAUCGCCCACACUGGAAGUGAGACGCGCUCCAGACUCCUACGGGAGGCAGCAGUAGCGAAUCUUCCGCAAUGGGCGAAAGCCUGACGGAGCAACGCCGCGUGAGUGAUGAAGGUCUUCGGAUCGUAAUACUCUGUUAUUAGGGAAGAACAACUGUGUAAGUAACUAUGCACGUCUUGACGGUACCUAAUCAGAAAGCCACGGCUAACUACGUG
rnacentral:rRNA from 1 species